GUGCUGGCUCCCAGAAGAGGAACCUGCUGCAGGCGCCGGCGCGGGCGGCGAGGACGACCUGUUUUUCUGACCCAGCCCGGAAGCGCUGGUGCAGGUGCUACCGGAUCACCCUAACAACCCUCUGGGACCUGUGGCCAUGUGUUCACAACAGCAGCCAUUACAGGUGUUUCCUGAACUCUUGUCGCGAGCCUCUGUCGGCUCCAUCUCAUCGAUCCUCCCAGCAACCCACAAGGAAGCUUCACAGAGAGGCAGAUGCCACACAGGCCACCCACCCAGAUGCAGAGCCAGAUUCCCUGCGUGGACUGGACGGGAGUUUCCCAGCUGGAGUUCUCUCGGCCAAGCUGCCUGUGACAUGGGGUUGGAGGUGCUCCAGAGAGUCAUGGCCACCCCUGGAGGAAGUGACUUGUGGCUGACUGCUCAAGGGGAAGUCCUGUGGCAGUGGAGUCGUCAGCAUUAAUUCAAAUAAGAUCUCUCCCUGCACACAAUCUGCUUUCGUGUUCCUGAUGGAUUGAAUCAAGAGUGAAUGAGCUCCUACUUCGCGAAAGCAAAACAAACUAAACGCAUCAACCACGACCGCAGAGCCCCCAUCUCUCCCAGGAGGGUGAGCCCAUGUUGUGUUUUCAUUUGUCAGAAAUCUAUCUUAGGAAGCCAUUCCUGAGAUCUGUUCUAAUUUAGGCCAUUUUUAAAAAAAAUAAUGCAGUUGAUUCUUUUCCCGUGAUCUUUCUUUUCUCCAUGACUUAAAUUUCCCCAGGAACUAUUCAAAUGCCGCAUCUGGGGUUUUGUUUUUGUUUUUUGAUGAAGUCAUGACUUUCUUUAAACAGUAAUUAUUAAACAAACCAAAGGGAAA
rnacentral:lncRNA from 1 species